CUCCCAGUGGUGAAAUGGAUAUCACAUGAGUCUUCGGAACUCACUUUUCGGGUUCGAAUCCUGACUGGGAGACCA
rnacentral:tRNA from 2 species